GCGGCGCCGCGGGGCCUUAGCGGACGGAGGGGAGCGCGGGGGUCACCGGGCCGGGCCGGCAGCCCUAGAGCUCGGCCUGGCGGGGACCCUGGGCCAGCCCCGCGCCUCCGUGGCCCGGGCGUCUCGUGCGUGUCCGCGAACUCGCGUGCGCGCGUCACCUCGGACCGCAGCAUGGCUCGGAGGGCGGCCCUACUCGCGCCGCCCUAGUGCUGCGAAGGGCCUCGGAGCCCAAACCCGGAACCGCCAUCUGGGACUGGGAAGACGACAUGGCCAGAAGCCGACUGGACAGCCGGCACCACCCCAUGAUUCAAGGAUGGCCAUAGCCCAGUGCAGGAGCAGAUUUGCUUCCAGUUUGCCCUUCCUCCUAGGUGGAGUCUCGCUCUGUCACCCAGGCUGGAGUGCAAUGGCACGGUCUCAGCUCACUGCAACCUCUGCCUCCCAGAUUCAAGCAAUUCUGCCUCAACCUCCUGAGUAGCUGGGACUACAGGCACGUGUCACCACGCCCAGCUAUUUUUUUUUUUUUUUUUUUUUUUUUGAGACAGAGUCUCCCUCUGUCGCCCAGGCUGGAGUGCAAUGGCGCAAUCUCAGCUCACUGCAAGCUCCGCCUCCCCGGUUCCCGCCAUUCUCUUGCCUCAGCCUCCCGAGUAGCUGGCACUACAGGCGCCUGCCACCCAUGACCGGGUAAUUUUUUUUGUAUUUUUUAGUAGAGACGGGGUUUCACUGUGUUAGCCAGGAUGGUCUCGAUCUCCUGACCUCAUGAUCCGCCCGCCUCGGCCUCCCAAAGUGCUGGGAUUACAGGCGUGAGCCACCAUGCCCGGCCUUAAUAACUUUUUAAAGGAUGUCAAGUUAAUGGAAUGUAUUCUGCUUUAGAAAAUAAAACUCUUAGGUUUUCAAAACUUAGCAGCCCCAGCAUUACCAAGGGCCUGCCUACCGUUUACAGUAUGUGAAUCCUACUUCCUUUUCAUGGUUGUAAGACUGGGAUUUUCUGGGAGCCGACCUGCAGGAGUCCACAGGCCACCCGUUAGGACUGUGCACGCUCCUCCACAAACAUGCCUGUGGGGGGAUCCUUGGCUCUCUCUGCAGGGGUGCGUUGGGUGUGCACCAGCUGGGAAGGAAGGAUCUGUCGGAACUGCAAUCAAAGCCACGGCAGGCCUCCCAGGGUCUUACUGGUGGUGAAAACAACCAGCUUCCUCGUCCCUCCCUCAAGCAUGGCAACCACCGCCCUGAGACUCAAAGAUACCUGGAGGAGUGUGAUCGGGCUGACCUGUUGCUCUUAUCUGGAAUUCUUUGAGGGUGAUGGGAGAUCACUUCUUUUUUUUUUUUUUUUUUUUUUUUGAGACAGGAUCUUGUUUUGUCAACCAGGCUGGAGUGCAGGUUCAGGUGAUUCUUCCGCCUCAGCCUCCCCAAGUAGGCUGAGUAGCUGAGAAAACAGAUGCGCACCACCAUGCCUGGUUAAUUUUUGGAUGUUUUGCAGCCAUGUGGUUUCACCAUGUUGUCCAGUCUGGUCUUGAACUCCUGAGCUCAAGGGAUCCUCCCACCUCGGCCUCCCAAAGCAUUGAGAUUACAGGUAUGAGCCACUGUACCCGGCUACCCAGGAGAUUACUAUUUUUUGGCAUAAAACCAAACAAAACUAUUCAUUAGUUUAUCCACUCAACAUUGAUUUAUUAUUCCUGACUGCAGCCAACAACAUUGUGAAUACUUUCCCUGCCUCAAGCUCUGUUCUAGGUCCUAGAACAUUCAUGACAAUUUGUUUCUCUGCCCUCUGGCAGGUGAGAAAACUUUGUAAGAAGUUUCAAUAGCAAAAAGUAUGAGAAGAUGUACAAUAGAUCUGGGACUAUUUGUAACAAACCCGGUGGAAGAUGUAGGAGCAGAGGUGGAAGGCCUUAAAGAGGGUCCUGCGCAUGCCGGGCGGGCCUCCAACAGAGAAAACACACAACCUGGCCAGGCACAGUGGCUCACGCCUGUAAUCCCAGCACUUUGGGAGGCCAGUGCGGGUGGAUCACCUGAGGUCAGGAGUUCGAGAUCAGCCUGGCCAAUGUAGUGAAACCCCAGUCUCUACCAAAAAUACAAAAAUUAGCCGGGCUUGGCACAGGCUUGCAAUCCCAGCUGAGGCAGGAGAAUCGCUUGAACCUGGGAGGUGGAGGUUGCAAUGAGCCAAGAUCAUGCUUUUGCACUCCAGCCUGGACGACAGAGUGAGACUCUGUCUCAAAACAAAAUAAAUAAAAUAGACACGCAAUCCAUACCACAGCCACCAGGGUGAUUGUCCAGGUUGUAUUUCUGCUGACAUCGACCCUUCAUGCCUUCCUCUUGUUGACCCUUCCAGCUACACCUAGCUCGGUCCUCUUCGGAGCCACGCCAACACCCAGGUUCCUCUGCAGUGCAUCCCCAUGGGGAUUUACCCGGUGAUUGAUUUUAUUUCUUUAUUUAUUUUUAUUAUUAUUAUUAUUUUUGAGACAGAGUUUCACUCUUGUUUCCCAGGCUGGAGUGCAGUGGCGCAAUCCCAGCUCACUGCAACCUCUGCCUCCCGGGUUCAAGCGAUUAUCCAGUCUCAG
rnacentral:lncRNA from 1 species